AACUUUCAGUAACGGAUAUCUCAACUCUCACAUCGUUGAAGAACGUAGUGAAACGUGAUACUUGGUGUGAAUUGCAAAAUAUUGUAAACCAUCAUGUCUUUGAACGGAAGUUGUGCCCCAAACCAUUAGGCUGAGGGCACGUUUGCCUGAGUGUCA